rnacentral:rRNA from 1 species
AACGAACGCCGGCGGCACGCCUAACACAUGCAAGUCGCACGAGAAAGUCCCCGCAAGGGGACCGGUAAAGUGGCAGACGGGUGAGUAACGCGUGGGUAACCUACCCUCGAGUGGGGGAUAACCCCGCGAAAGCGGGGCUAAUACCGCAUAACAUCCCGGGCCGCGAGUUUCGGGAUCGAAGGUGGCUCGCAAGAGCUACCGCUCGGGGAGGGGCUCACGUUCCAUCAGCUAGUUGGUGGGGUAACGGCCUACCAAGGCGGUGACGGAUAGCUGGUCUGAGAGGACGACCAGCCACACUGGCACUGAGACACGGGCCAGACUCCUACGGGAGGCAGCAGUGAGGAAUCUUGCGCAAUGGACGAAAGUCUGACGCAGCGAUGCCGCGUGGGGAUGAAGGCCUCGGUCGUAACCC